rnacentral:tRNA from 1 species
GCCUCCGUGGCGCAAUUGGUAGACGCGUAUGCUUCAGGAGCAUAUGUUGAAAGACUUAGAGGUUCAAAUCCUCUCGGAGGCA